CCCUUAGAGUUUGAUCCUGGCUCAGGAUGAACGCUAGCUACAGGCUUAACACAUGCAAGUCGAGGGGCAGCAUGAACUUAGCUUGCUAAGUUUGAUGGCGACCGGCGCACGGGUGAGUAACACGUAUCCAACCUGCCGAUGACUCGGGGAUAGCCUUUCGAAAGAAAGAUUAAUACCCGAUGGCAUAGUUCUUCCGCAUGGUAGAACUAUUAAAGAAUUUCGGUCAUCGAUGGGGAUGCGUUCCAUUAGGUUGUUGGCGGGGUAACGGCCCACCAAGCCUUCGAUGGAUAGGGGUUCUGAGAGGAAGGUCCCCCACAUUGGAACUGAGACACGGUCCAAACUCCUACGGGAGGCAGCAGUGAGGAAUAUUGGUCAAUGGACGAGAGUCUGAACCAGCCAAGUAGCGUGAAGGAUGACUGCCCUAUGGGUUGUAAUCUUCUUUUAUACGGGAAUAAAGUGAGGCACGUGUGCCUUUUAGUAUGUACCGUAGAAUAAGGAUCGGCAACUCUG
rnacentral:rRNA from 1 species